rnacentral:rRNA from 1 species
AGUGAACGCUGGCGGUAGGCCUAACACAUGCAAGUCGAACGGCAGCACAGGAGAGCUUGCUCUCUGGGUGGCGAGUGGCGGACGGGUGAGGAAUACAUCGGAAUCUACUCUGUCGUGGGGGAUAACGUAGGGAAACUUACGCUAAUACCGCAUACGACCUACGGGUGAAAGCAGGGGACCUUCGGGCCUUGCGCGAUUGAAUGAGCCGAUGUCGGAUUAGCUAGUUGGCGGGGUAAAGGCCCACCAAGGCGAGGAUCCGUAGCUGGUCUGAGAGGAUGAGCAGCCACACUGGAACUGAGACACGGUCCAGACUCCUACGGGAGGCAGCAGUGGGGAAUAUUGGACAAUGGGCGCAAGCCUGAUCCAGCCAUACCGCGUGGGUGAAGAAGGCCUUCGGGUUGUAAAGCCCUUUUGUUGGGAAAGAAAUCCAGCUGGCUAAUACCCGGUUGGGAUGACGGUACCCAAAGAAUAAGCACCGACUAACUUCGUGCCAGCAGCCGCCGUAA